AUUGAACGCUGGCGGCAUGCCUUACACAUGCAAGUCGAACGGCAGCACGGGAGCAAUCCUGGUGGCGAGUGGCGAACGGGUGAGUAAUAUAUCGGAACGUGCCCGGUCGUGGGGGAUAACGUAGCGAAAGCUACGCUAAUACCGCAUACGAUCUACGGAUGAAAGCGGGGGAUCGCAAGACCUCGCGCGAUUGGAGCGGCCGAUAUCAGAUUAGGUAGUUGGUGAGGUAAAGGCUCACCAAGCCGACGAUCUGUAGCUGGUCUGAGAGGACGACCAGCCACACUGGGACUGAGACACGGUCCAGACUCCUACGGGAGGCAGCAGUGGGGAAUUUUGGACAAUGGACGCAAGUCUGAUCCAGCCAUUCCGCGUGCAGGAUGAAGGCCCUCGGGUUGUAAACUGCUUUGUACGGAACGAAACGGUGAGCUCUAAUACAGUUUGCUAAUGACGGUACCGUAAGAAUAAGCAACCGGCUAACUACGUGCCAG
rnacentral:rRNA from 1 species